CACGUAGGGGGCAAGCGUUGUCCGGAUUUAUUGGGCGCAAAGAGCUCGUAGGCGGCUCGGUAAGUCGGGUGUGAAACCUCCAGGCUCAACCUGGAGACGCCACCUGAUACUGCUGUGGCUAGAGUCCGGUAGGGGAGUGUGGAACUCCUGGUGUAGCGGUGAAAUGCGCAGAUAUCAGGAAGAACACCAGCGGCGAAGGCGGCACUCUGGGCCGGAACUGACGCUGAGGAGCGAAAGCGUGGGUAGCAAACAGG
rnacentral:rRNA from 1 species